CCUACGGGUGGCAGCAGUGAGGAAUAUUGGUCAAUGGGCGGGAGCCUGAACCAGCCAAGUCGCGUGAGGGAAGACGGUCCUAUGGAUUGUAAACCUCUUUAGGCGGGGAGCAAUGCCGGGCACGCGUGCCCGGAGGGAGAGUACCCGCAGAAUAAGCAUCGGCUAACUCCGUGCCAGCAGCCGCGGUAAUACGGAGGAUGCGAGCGUUAUCCGGAUUUAUUGGGUUUAAAGGGAGCGUAGGCGGGUUGUUAAGUCAGUUGUGAAAGUUUGCGGCUCAACCGUAAAAUUGCAGUUGAUACUGGCAUCCUUGAGUACAGUAGAGGUAGGCGGAAUUCGUGGUGUAGCGGUGAAAUGCUUAGAUAUCACGAAGAACUCCGAUUGCGAAGGCAGCCUGCUGGACUGUAACUGACGCUGAUGCUCGAAAGUGUGGGUAUCAAACAGGAUUAGAUACCCGAGUAGUC
rnacentral:rRNA from 1 species